rnacentral:rRNA from 1 species
CCUACGGGAGGCAGCAGUGAGGAAUAUUGGUCAAUGGGCGGGAGCCUGAACCAGCCAAGUCGCGUGAGGGAAGACGGUCCUAUGGAUUGUAAACCUCUUUAGCCGGGGAGCAAGGCGGGGCACGCGUGCGCGGGGGGAGAGUACCCGCAGAAGAAGCAGCGGCUAACUCCGUGCCAGCAGCCGCGGUAAUACGGAGGAUGCGAGCGUUAUCCGGAUUGAUUGGGUUGAAAGGGUGCGUAGGCGGCUUGUUAAGUCAGCGGUCAACUGUCCGGGCUCAACCCGGGCCGGCCGUUGAAACUGGGGGUCUUGAGUGGGCGAGAAGUAUGCGGAAUGCGUGGUGUAGCGGU